AGAGAAGGGAGAAAAGUCCAAACUGUGAGAGGGUGGGAUGAAUGGACGUCAGGUCAGGUCAGCCAUUCAGUGCAGAGUCCUAGAGUGACUGGGAUUGGAAAGUACUUGGGUCCUUUGGGUUUGCAAUGGAUUGUGUUGUUUCUGGGUUCGGGUUUUUACAAGAAGCAGACAGGCCCUAUGUCCACACCGAAUUCCUGCUCGGGCCCUCCUAUGUCCAUGGGUGCAAUGUCAAUGAUGGGGAGGCGUGAGGUCUUCUGCGACCGGUACUCAAUCAUAGUCUUGCCCCACUUACCGGUGUGUUUCUAGGGGAGAAAGAGAGGAGAGUCGGUGGAUGCCUUACGAUCCGGUGCCAGCUGCCCUGGACCCCAAAACUGAACACAAGCCCGUGGCGCUCGUGCCCCUUUAGGACCACGAUGCCUGCUAUGGACCAGCCCUCUGCCUGCUGUAGCCCGGGGCCCCGGGCGGCUCAUCUCUCUGGCGGCCCAGCCGGCCUGACUCACCGUGCAGCCAUCCUUCAGAACCGUAUACGUGAACCUGCUGUUGCCCUCGGCCCGGAUCUCCACGUCGUUGGAGCCCUGGAUGAGCAGGGCCUUCUUGAGGUUGCCAGCGGCUUCGUCCAGCCCCUCUCUUCUAUGUCUCAUGGACUCUGAACUUCCAGGGAGCUCCCAGGAUAAAGGAUGCUGUCACAUUAGCUGCAGGCUGAUGCCCCGAAAGAAGCCCUUCGCAUCAGAGAGCUCAAGCCUCCCGGUGCCGGGAACACCCCAGACAGCAGGAAGGACACUCACAGCAGGGCCAGUUUCGCCUGAACGUCCACGGGGUCCAGGAGGUCCAAUGGGGCCGGGGAUUCCAUUAGCGCCAUCUUUGCCAGAGGGACCGACAGGGCCAGGAGGACCCUGCAGGCCGGGAGGGAGAAAGGCAGUGAGAAGAGAGCCAUCAACGAAGGGAAGGUCCCGGAGAAGCCGGGGCUGGUGAGGCUGCCGUCCUGGCAGCACUCAUAGCUUGCUCUCUUCCCAGGUUUUCCCAUUUCUCAGUCAUGGAACCCCACGCUGGUCUCCCUGUGGCCAAGAACCGGCAGGACGGCCUCACGGCUCUCUCACUCCCUACAAUCCUCUUUGUAAAAUCCUAUUCCCAGGGAGUCUGUCUGACAGCCGAGAGCUGCUCUCGUGGUCGUCCUAUGACCUCAGGUACUUCUCUGGCCACAGUGUCACCAAGCCAGUCCCACUUCUGCUGCUCAGUGAGGCGCCUGAGCCCGAGGCUUCCCCAGAAGCAGCCACAUCUCCCUCCUCACCAAACACCUGACCAGCACUCUGGUCCCACCCCGGAGGAAGGGUUCACUCCGUCUCACUUACUCUGGGACCAGAAGGGCCGGCAGGACCAGAAGUCCCUUGGUCUCCAGCGGGACCCUGUGCAGCAGGAAGAGGCAAAGGUCAGAGGUCAGCACGGACAGGGCCCCAUCUUCCACGUCAGGAGGCCUUCUUGAAUACGUAUAUAUACUGGGAGUUGGGGGAGCGCAUACACGUCCCGCCCCUGCGCCCCUUCCAUGUGCUUCUCCCUCCAACCCUGAGGAGGCCCAGCACAUUUCUCAGGAUGAUCCCCAGUCGCCUUUGCAGCAUGGGAAACUCCAGUGGGCUCUGUGAAGUGGGACGCCUUGGGGAACCAAGCGCAGCCUGCGGCACUCACAGGGGGGCCGGGCAGACCCUGCAGACCAGUGAAGCCACGGUGUCCCUUCAGUCCCCUCUCGCCAGCCUCUCCCGUUUCUCCUUUGUCACCUCGGGGGCCUUGAGGGCCCUGGGAACAAGACACAAAGACACAGGUUUGGUCAGCUCAGGCCAGCCUCUGCCAGCCUCACCCGAGCCAAGGAGCCCCAGGUCCCUGCUGCCCCCUGGACCUGCCUGUCGGGGACCCAGCACAGGACGCUCAGAUACUCACUGGCAUUCCCCGGGCUCCAGCUGGUCCUGAGGGUCCCAUGGGGCCUUGUGCGCCCUGUGGGGAGAGUGGGGGCAGCGUCAGAGCACAGGACAGGGACGCGCCCAGGGCCUGGGGU